rnacentral:lncRNA from 1 species
GAAUCGCAACGUUACAACUCCAGCCGAAAAUAGAGGAAGAGACCGUGAGGAUGACCGCACGACAUGAGUUCGCUGAAAAAUGGGCGAAGGAUGAAGGAAGAAGAGGGAGAAAGGAAGUAGAGAUGGAGAAAAGAGGAGAGAGCGGGUGGAGGAUGCCCUGGAUGAAAAGAGGGAAAGGGGGAAAGUGUGGGAAAAAGAGGAAAUGUGUAGGGAAAAGAAAAGAGGGAGUGAAGUUAUCAUUUUUUUUCUUUUUUUCUAAAUCAUAUUAAUCUCAGCCCUAGGAUCUAAAGGUUGUAGGAUCCACAACCCACAUGGGGUUGUACCAGUACCAUGACUCUUAAAGUGUAUCAAGUUAGUACCCUGUGGUUUCACACUUUCUUGCUUUAGUACCCUGUGGUUUAAAGUGUAUCAAGUUAGUACUCUGUGGUUUCAUUUUUGUGUCAAGUUAGUAUACUGUGGUUUUAUUUUUCUCUUUUUAUUAUCCAUUUUGGAGUAUAUUUUUUGUUAAAUCAGUGACAAAGUUAAAACUAAAGAGUACUAAAAUGAAUAUUCGAUAAACCUAGGUAGGGUAUAUGAAGUUUUUCGUCUCGAAAGGAAUUAAAGGGUUCGAAGAAACGGAGAAUCAUUGAUUCCCCUCCCCUUUUCUUUUGAAAACGCCAAACCGACGAGGUUGAAAAUGACUGCGGCAUAGAUGACGACGGUGGCAUAGAUCGUAAUGGCCGGCGGACUUGGUUCAACAUUCUCGAAAGGGAUUGAAGGGUCCUAAGAAAUGAAAAAUCGUUGAUUCCCCUCCCCCCUUCUUUCGAAAAUGCUAAAUCAGAGAGGUUGAAGAUGACUGUGGCGUAGAUGAUGACGGUGGCACAGAACGUAACGGUUGGCAGAUUCGGUUUGACAUUCUCGAAAGAGGUUGAAGAGUCCGAGAAAACAGAGAAUUGUUGAUU